GACGAACGCUGGCGGCGUGCUUAACACAUGCAAGUCGAACGGAAAGGCCCUGCUUUUGCGGGGUGCUCGAGUGGCGAACGGGUGAGUAACAAGUGAGUAACCUGCCCUUGACUUUGGGAUAACUUCAGGAAACUGGGGCUAAUACCGGAUAGGAGCUCCUGCUGCAUGGUGGGGGUUGGAAAGUUUCGGCGGUUGGGGAUGGACUCGCGGCUUAUCAGCUUGUUGGUGGGGUAGUGGCUUACCAAGGCUUUGACGGGUAGCCGGCCUGAGAGGGUGACCGGCCACAUUGGGACUGAGAUACGGCCCAGACUCCUACGGGAGGCAGCAGUGGGGAAUAUUGCACAAUGGGCGGAAGCCUGAUGCAGCAACGCCGCGUGCGGGAUGACGGCCUUCGGGUUGUAAACCGCUUUCGCCUGUGACGAAGCGUGAGUGACGGUAAUGGGUAAAGAAGCACCGGCUAACUACGUG
rnacentral:rRNA from 1 species